AACGCGAAGAACCUUACCAAGGCUUGACAUCGCCGGAAAUCCCGUAGAGAUGCGGGGUCCUUUUUGGGUCGGUGACAGGUGGUGCAUGGCUGUCGUCAGCUCGUGUCGUGAGAUGUUGGGUUAAGUCCCGCAACGAGCGCAACCCUCGUUCCAUGUUGCCAGCAACACCUUCGGGUGGUUGGGGACUCAUGGGAGACCGCCGGGGUCAACUCGGAGGAAGGUGGGGAUGACGUCAAGUCAUCAUGCCCCUUAUGUCUUGGGCUGCAAACAUGCUACAAUGGCCGGUACAGUGGGCUGCGAUACCGUGAGGUGGAGCGAAUCCCUUAAAGCCGGUCUCAGUUCGGAUCGAAGUCUGCAACUCGACUUCGUGAAGUCGGAGUCGCUAGUAAUCGCAGAUCAGCAACGCUGCGGUGAAUACGUUCCCGGGCCUUGUACACACCG
rnacentral:rRNA from 1 species